CCUCUCUUGUGUGCGAUCCGUAGGUCUAAGUAUCGUAUACCGCCGUCGAGCUGGGCUGCCACCUGCUGUUCCUACGAAAGCCGGGUGACUCUCACUCACAAAGUCCCCCGCUAUGAUGUUGAUGGAGCCAGGAUUGGACCCAGGACAUAAGCCCUUGACCCACUCCAGCAGCACCGGGAGACGAUCACCUGGUAACCCAGCUGCCAGAGGUUCCGCAGGGUUAUGGGUUCCUGUGGGACACAAGCUGGUCACUGACUGUGAAGGAGGUUGUGACAGUCCAGGUUGAGCUCCAGGAAGUGACUGAAGGACAAGAUAACCACCUCCCUGGGAUGCAUGUCCAGCCACUCUCUGAUCUCCGUCAGGACAGCCUGAGGAAG